UUAAAAAAAUAUAAGGAAAAAGAGAAACAUUAAAAACAUCCACCAUCUGAAUAAUUGAAAAAAUGUGAAAAGGUUAAGAUAAUUUACUAUGAUGUCAAAUUCACAAAAUAUUUUUAGGAGGAAUGGCGAAAACAGAACUCAUCCAUAUACAUUUUGGCACACUUCAAAUACUGCAGGUAAAAAGAAUGAUAACUGAGUGAGAUUUAUAACGACAUACAAAAACAGCCCUCAGGAAGGGCUUUGUUUCAUAACCUUUAUACUAUUGUUUUAAUUUGCAGCAUUAUUUUCUCCUUGUAACAUACAUGAAAACAAAUAAAGAAAUAUCAUGACAACA